AGAGUUGAUCAGGCAGUCGCUCUGUUUUUUAAACAGGGAGGAAAGUCCGGGCUUCAAAGGACAAGGUGCCAGAUAACGUCUGGGAGGCGCGAGCCUACGGAAAGUGCCACAGAAAAUAUACCACCUUGUAGAGAGUUUAACCGCUAUCAGCAAGGUAAGGGUGAAAUGGUGCGGUAAGAGCGCACCGCGUCGCUGGUAACAGAGACGGCAGGGUAAACCCUACCUGAAGCAAGACCAAAUAGGGGGACGUUUUAAGUAAUUGUCUUCGGACGUUUAUUUAAAUAACGUGUUGUCCGCACGGUUCCCGGGUAGGUUGCUAGAGGUGUUUGGUGACAAACAUCCCAGAGGAAUGACUGCUACAGACUUAUUUUAUCUCGGUAAAAUAGGUUUGACAGAACCCGGCUUACCGAUCAACUCUCAUC
rnacentral:RNase_P_RNA from 1 species